rnacentral:lncRNA from 1 species
UAUGACUGUGUCAGAAUAUGCCCAAAAAUUCCUAGAAUUGGGUCGGUAUUCCCUUGAGAGCAUGAUGUAUAAAGAUAGAAAGACAAAAAAGUUUGAGUGGGGCCUCCGUCCUGAGAUUAGACAGCAGCUGUAUGUGUUCGAGUUCACUAUUUACUCAGCCUUUCUGACCAAGGCACAACUAGUGGAGAGGAACCUUCGCAUCUUUCCUCCAGUAGUA